AGCGAACGCUGGCGGCAGGCCUAACACAUGCAAGUCGAACGAAGUCUUCGGACUUAGUGGCGGACGGGUGAGUAACACGUGGGAACGUGCCUUUAGGUUCGGAAUAACUCAGGGAAACUUGUGCUAAUACCGAAUGUGCCCUUCGGGGGAAAGAUUUAUCGCCUUUAGAGCGGCCCGCGUCUGAUUAGCUAGUUGGUGAGGUAAAGGCUCACCAAGGCGACGAUCAGUAGCUGGACUGAGAGGAUGAUCAGCCACAUUGGGACUGAGACACGGCCCAAACUCCUCCGGGAGGCAGCAGUGGGGAAUCUUGCGCAAUGGGCGAAAGCCUGACGCAGCCAUGCCGCGUGAAUGAUGAAGGUCUUAGGAUUGUAAAAUUCUUUCGCCGGGGACGAUAAUGACGGUACCCGGGGAAGAAGCCCCGGCUAACUUCGUGCCAGCCGCCGCCGUAACAC
rnacentral:rRNA from 1 species